GACGAACGCUGGCGGCGUGCCUAAUACAUGCAAGUCGAACGCAGUGGGUACGGGUGAGUAACACGUGGGUAACCUCCCAUCAGAGGGGAUAACACUUGGAAACAGGUGCUAAACCGAUACUGAUGGAUGGACCCGCGGUGCAUUAGCUAGUGGGUGAGGUAACGGCUCACCAAGGCCACGAUGCAUAGCCUACCUGAGAUUGUGAUCGGCCACACUGGAAAUGAGAAAAGGCCAAGAAUCCUUCGAGAGGCAGCAGGAGGGAAUCUGCGGCAAUGGACGAAAGUCUGAACGAGCAACGCCGCGUGAGUGAAGAAGGUUUACGGAUCGUAAAACUCUGUUGUUAGAGAAGCGGUAUCUAACCAGAAAGACACUGGUAACUACGUGCCAGCAGCCGCGGUAAUUC
rnacentral:rRNA from 1 species